rnacentral:rRNA from 1 species
UACAGAGGUCUCAAGCGUUGUUCGGAUUCAUUGGGCGUAAAGGGUGCGUAGGCGGCUAGGUAAGUCGGAUGUGAAAUCCCGGGGCUCAACCCCGGAACUGCACUCGAUACUGCCUGGCUCGAGUGCUGGAGAGGAGAUUGGAAUUUACGGUGUAGCAGUGAAAUGCGUAGAUAUCGUAAGGAAGACCAGUGGCGAAGGCGGAUCUCUGGACAGUUACUGACACUGAGACACGAAGGCCAGGGGAGCAAACGGG